GACGAUGUUCUCGUGUCAGUCUUCUUGAUAACAAAGAUUUUGGUUUACAGCCAAAUUGUGAUACAGCUCUUUAAUGCGUUUUUGUAAGAUAAUUAUUUAUUCGAUUGAUUGUGAAUUACUGCUUUCAACUUCUGAAGUUCGCAACACGAUUAGCGAGAUACAUUCAUUGAAUAAACGGAGUUACUGUAAAGUGUAGUCCAAAUAAUUAGACGUAAGCUACCCCGCUUACGUCUAAACGGCUACCGUCGUUUUCCUAUAGCAAAUUGAGUUCAACUUAAACUUCAGUUUUUCUCGUUAAAUCUUUGCUAAUGCAUAAAAUUAUCAUUAAUUAGACAUAAAUGUGAGCGAUUACCUCUUAAAUGUGUAAAAAUUGUGCUUUUAAACCACUUAUGUACAUUUUUAAAAAUAAACAUACACAACACACGAAGUGUGUUUGUCGUUUAUAGAAUUACAUUGAAUUAUCUUGAACGAAAUUAUUUUUUGAAUAGGUUACACAUAACCAAUUGUUGUUGUACAACAAACCACAUCACUUUUUAGCUUUCUGUACUUUUUAAUUAAAUGAAACCUAUAUGUGUGUGUUAAAACUACCAGUUGUAUCACGGAGUGUAUAUUGAUAGGAGAUGAUUCGAGUAUUUGACCCUUACUGUAGUAAAUUCAAUCUUAUGCAAAAACUAUUCAUUCGAUUUUAUUGGUUUAUACGUUAUCUUGUUGCUUAUUAAUUCCUCUUUAAAAAAAUAUACGUUUUAGUAUACUCCCGUUGCUAUUAAUGGAUUUAUAGCGAGAUAAACACAAGAAAUACACAUUUUAUGUUUUAUGUUUUACCACCGCGCGUUUUACCGUGUUGUGGCUAUCGAUUUUGUACAAUUAGCGUAAAGCGAAGCGCCGAGGUUAUACAUUUUGAUGUACCCACUCACGUCUUUGUUGAAUUAUAGUUUCAUUUCUAGGCCGAUUUUGACAAAUUAUAUAUCAUUAGAAAGCUUACGUUCCAUAGUAAACAGAUAUAUAAACAUAUAUUAAGUGUUUCUUCUGAUUUCGACAGCCCGGCGAGUUAUAACUUUAACUUUUGCAAAUAUCAUACCGUAUUGGAGUUUUAGAAUCUAGAUUUACGGUUGACAUGUUCGUACUUAAUACCAAUUUGUAGCGUUUAUAUUUGGAGUUCAGUUUUAAAAAUUACAUCUUGCUUAGGAGAAUAGAAUUCUGUAUACGAUAGAAAAAAAUUGUUUAAAAAAACGAAAGUAAUUAAGGAAUGAAGGCGGAAGAAAGUAGCGCGCGUUCCUAACGCACUGAACUGAUGCUACGAUCUUGGCGAUUAUGCUUUUGUUUAGAAACCGGCCAUUGAAUUUCCUUUGCCAUGAUUAUUAUAUUUUUGAUGGAAUAUAUUGUGGUAUUUUGUUCACGAAACAUAUCAAUAAAGCUUAUUAUAAAUAAAUCUUAACAAAUUAACGAUUUCAGCUCUUGUUUAUAACACAGAAAGGGUGAUAACUUUAUGAUGAAACAGCGUAUAUAGCGGAUCCUCUCGAUUUUAUUCGGCUUUGCAUGCAUACUUGAAAUAAAAUGGGUCUCAAAAACAUUCAUCGUUUGCUGUUAAUUAUCAACGAGGGACUUAUGUAUAAUUAUAUGAAAUGUUAUUUACCUUAAAUUAUCAAUUUAUUAAAGAUUCUUGAAUAUCACGGUCGGUGUUACGCAUUUCGUAUUUUGACAUCAGGGCAUCAUGUCCAACUAUUCAAAAUCAUAUUUUUUUUUCACUGGGACGAUGACGGCUUAGAUUUAGACAGGCAGACAGAUAGUUUAUUCAGACUUAUACAACAGUACAUCGUCUUCAACUCAAAUAUAUAAAUUAUUUUUAGACGAAUUGUAAGGUGAUUACACAUAUAGCAGUGAUGAUUCUGAGAAUGUUGCCAUGUUUCUUAUCCGUGUAAUCUAGAGUCCGUGGUUUGAGCAUUUUUAUCGCGGUGUUCAAUAAAAGAUAUCUCAAUAAUCUUGUUUAUCGAUAGAUCUGUGGUUUUAUUGCCCCUGUGUUCAGCACAAACCAAUUAUCUCUUUAUGAUCAGAUACUGUGCCGACCAAUACUAAAUAGCACUAUGGUGUCAUACGCCACAGCAGGGACCUAUACUUGUGAUCAUGGAGUCUUAGUGCAAGACUUAAAAAAGUAUGUUGUUUCGCUUGCGGUUGUUAAAGCUAAAACGGGGCUUCCCAGCUGGCACAGCUGCAGAUAUUCGGAUUUGAAUACCUAAACUUAUUCAGACCUUAUUCUUAACCGUUGCGCGUUUUACGAUAUCGGAUUUUAGGCGGGAAUACAACUCAGUGAAACUAUUCAAUUUCUUAUACAACAUUAAGCAUAUUAACAGUUAUUGAAAUUAACAAUAUCAGCGACAUCUUUUUAAAGACUAAACACCUUUUCAAGUAUCGAAUUUAACAUGUCAAUAAAAUAUAUUAAUACCAAAAAAGGCUUCAUUUAAUAUUGUUCACAUUAAACCUUUAAAUGAAAGUGUCGCUUUAACCAUUUUCCGUGUUAUUUAGCCGCGAAUCGUUUGCUAAAAACAGUUAACAAAAAGGGCUACACGUUCUAAUUCUUAAUGAAAUACAAAAAUAAGUAUAACAUAAUUAAUAACGUCCAUAAACACACACGGCAAGAUCAAAGUUUUAAUGGAAAACUAAUAUGACAUUCCGCGUAAAUUAUUAUUUUCGUCUAAAUCGAAUACUAUAUAAAGAGAAACAAUGUAUUUAUAACCGACCAAUGAGGUAACAUUAUGCAACUUUCAAUUUACACAGUGCUAUAUGGCAACAAUAUGGAAUUUGAACAGUGGUAGUGUUUUAAGGUCUGGACUAUCAUUACUUGUAAGUUUGUAUAAACAUUUUUCUAAUGCAAUUAGUAAAAUAAUGUUUAUAUUUUAUGUUUAAUAAUUUAUUGCAUGAUUAUUCUGUGCUGUUAUAUGAAUUUGAUGCCGUUAAAGCUUCCGACAUGAAUUCAUGUCGGAACGAUGCUAUUGCAAAAUAACGUUAAACGAUAUGAGGUCGAUGUAAAUCGACCUCAUAUUUAUAGGAGUACUGUAAAGUGUAACAUUGAAUUGAAGGGCGUAAUACAUUUCUAGUUUCGCUUUGGAUAAAAAUAUAUCAUAACAAUGGCAGAGAAGGGAUCAGAUGUACUAAUUGACUUUUGCUGUAAUGUUUGUGAGGAGGAAAAUUUAACCAAGGAAGCAAUGUUUUACUGUCAACAAUGUAACAAAGGCCUCUGUAAUGACUGUAUAGGACUACACAAUCAGUUUUAUAAGAUGCACGUCGCAAAUGGGAGAAGCGAGAUGGAGAAAUGGCCAGUUAAGAAGAAAUUAUUUGAAGAAUUGAAGUUUUGUCAACAGCAUAAAGAUCAACCGAUAGAGAUGUAUUGUGAAGACCACAGUAAACUCUGUUGUUCCAUGUGCCUGUUCCAUGAACACAGACAUUGUGUCAAGCUGGUGCUGAUAGAAGAAAAAUCACAAGCAGUCAAUGAAAUGGAGGAUUUUCAUACGUUACCUGCAAUUAUUGCUGAUAUCCAGAAAAAGCUUGAAACUGCAAAAGAUGACACACAAGAAUUUCGGAAGGAACUGAAGGAUUCAUAUGAUAAAGCAUAUAAAGAAAUUAAAGUACUUCGUCAGAAAAUCAACGACAUCUUAGAUGAAUUGGAGAGAAAAACAAUACUAUCGUUGGACAACUUGCUUCAAACACUAAAUCAGUCUAUUCAAUCUGAUGCGGACACGUGUUCAAAAACCACAGAUGGUUUGAAAAAAAUCUGCAAUACAAUAAAUGACAUUGAAAAUAUCCCAAAUGACUUAUCUUUUAUAGCGUACCACAAAACACUGGAAAUUGUUUCACACGCGCAGAAUCUGUUUAAAGAAUUGACUGGAACCAGAAGACCUCUAGUCAUUUUUAACAAAAACCCUAGCAUCGACACAACACUAUCUGAGUUGUCUUCUCUUGGAAGUAUUGAAUUUGUUGAAAAAAAUCUCAAGAAGGACAAUGCCAUGAUAAUCGAUUGUACUCUAUUUAUACUAGGAAGACCUACCUACGUUCAACCAUAAAAUCACAUUAAAAAUGGAUAUUGCAAAAAUUAAAACUCACUUCUCGAAUGCAUGUUCUUGUAUGUAUUAAAUUAAGGAAAUGUCAAGUAAAAAAAAAAAAAUUAUUAAAAAUCAAUAAAUAAUAAUAAUAAAAAAAUGGUAGAACUAUGUUCCCUGUCUUAUGUUAAGUGUAAUCGUAAUAUUUGCUCUUCCUAGCUUUAUUAUCACCACUAUCAUAAUCAUCAUGGUCAUCACCAUUGUCGUCAUCUCGAUCAUCAUCAUGAUUUCUAGUAUCAUCAUUAUCAGUAUUACUAUCAUUAUUAGCAUCGUUGUUGUUGUUGUUACUAUUAUUAGAAGUAUUAUUAUAACUAAGGCUGUUGUUGUAAAUCAUUAAUCCUACUCUUUAAUAUGGAGUGUAUCCACACAAAUAUUCCACCACUAACUGUUUACUAUUUAAUGUUGUUGUUGGUGUUACUUUUGUAGAAGUACUAUUAUAACAAAUGUGGUUGUUGGUGAUCACUAUACAUUAUUUUGUAAUUAGAACGAAUUCACAUACGUACUUAACUAUUAAUUAUCCAACACCUACGGGUUCGAAACCCAAAUUUUCUUUUGUUUGUAGACAAUAUAUUGUUUAAAUAACCAUUAUGUUACUGACCCUUUACUGGAGAAUUUUCACAUGACAACCACUUUCCCAAUUGAUCUACUAUGAUUUAUCGUAUAUAAUACUGUUUGUUUGAUAUCUGUGUAAUUAUCUUAUACAUAUGCUCACAUGUUAUUACAAAAUGUCAUUGUUUUGUAACCUGUGAAAACAAAUAAAGUUCUGUUCUGUUCUGUUCUGUUCUGUUCUGUAAGAGCAAAAAUCUUCACAAUGUUCGAUUAGCAUCUGAUGAAUUAGAAUGUGAUUUAAGAGGCAUUAUUGAGCUACCUGGUGGAGACAUCCUAAUUCCAGACUAUGAAAACAAGAACAUUAAGUUGCUUGAUAAGACGUUCACAGUUGUCUCUCACUUAGGCUUGCCUGGCUCUCCUUAUGACAUUUGCAGCAUAAGUCCUAAUGAGGUUGCUGUUACUGUUGAGCAAUGGGGCGAAAUUUACACCGUCCAGUUCCUCAAGGUUAAAAACAGGCAGAUAACGAAAGGCAUAGCUCUAAACUUCGAACACAUUUGUCAUGGUAUCACAUUCUUCAACCAAAGUCUAUUUAUAACUUCAUAUACUGCCUUGUAUCAGUACACACUGGAUGGUCAGCUGUUGAAGAAGAUCUAUGAAGAUACUUCAGGUUCAGCAACAGUGUACAAGUGCGCCGUGAGUGCCGAUGGAUCACGGCUGUAUGUAACCAACUACACUAACAACAAGCUCCUUACCCUGUCUAUGGAUGGGGCUGUCCUGUCAUCCUUGGAAGAUCCUGCAAUUUGCAGUCCUAGGGGUGUACACGUGUCAGAGACAGGGCAGCUGCUGGUUUGUGAAGACGGAGCACACAGCGUAGUGCAGGUGGAUGGUGAGAGAGGAGUUGUGACCCUGAUUUCCGUGGAGGACCGUCUAAAUUUCCCAGAGAAUGUGUACCAUAGUGCACGAACGGACAGGUUGAUCGUUGUACAAGCAAAUGAUAGCAUUAUGAUAACCAAUAGCAAGUAGAAUCGCAGCAUUAUUAUUUUCAUUAUCAUAUUAACAACUUAAUUGUUUACACAAAUAGCUACCAAUUUUUACUCACUUAGCAUAGAUAUAAAUAAACUUUAUCAAGUAAGGAUUUUUAGAAAGGGAUUGUCAUUGCAGAAUGAAAAGUAAUCAAAACUGGGUACACUUAAAAAAAGACGCAUUUAUUUGAAAGCAUAACGGAGAAGUGUAUUUUUAUUAUUUAUAAGAAACGUUGAAUCAUUGAUAUAAAAGUUAAUGUGCAGAUUCGAACACAUUUAAAAAAGCAAUUUUAUCAACUGUUAUUAUACCCCCAGAAACGAAGUUUAGGGGGGUAUAUAGGAGGGAGCUUGUUUGUCGGUCUGUCUGUCUGUCGGUCCGUAUAAAGUGUCCGCUCUCUAAUUCAAGUUGUUUUCAUCCAAUCUUCACCAAACUUGGUCAGAUGUUGUAUCUAGAUGAUGUCUAGGUCAACUUCGAAUAUGGGUCAUUCCGGGUCAAAAACUAGGUCUCGGGGUCACUUUUUGGGUUUUAAACAUUGAGCAUGGUGUCCGCUUUCCAAUUCAAGUAGUUUUCAUCUGAUUUUCACCAAACUUCGUCAGAAGUUUUAUCUAGAUGAUCUUAAGGCCAAGUUCGAACAUGGACCCUGCCAGAUCAAAAACUAGGUCACGGGGUCACUAAGUAUGUUUUACACAUUUAGCAUGGUGUACGAUCUCUAAUUUAAGUAGUUUUCAUCCGAUCUUCACCACACUUCGUCAGAAAUUGUAUCUAGAUGAUGUGUAGGUCAUGUUCGAACAUGGGCCAUGCCGGGUCAAAAACUAGGUCACGGGGUCACUUAGUGCGUUUUAAACAUUGAGCAUGGUGUUUUUUGUGAAGACAACAUGCAAAAUAUUCUGUGUCAAUGCGGCAUGUGGUGGGAUAUUCAUCACGUCUGUGACAAAGCUCUAGUGUUUAUUUUGAUAUCACAUACUUUAAAAAAAAGUAUGCAUAAAGCAACUCGUGCAUUGGUUCUCACUUAUUUGUUUCACAUGUUGACAAAUUGUCAUAUCAAUUGAUCAAAAUUUCAUUUAAAAAGUAAGUUUUUAACUCGCACACUGCUGAUUUCAAUGCAUAUUGAGCUUGCGACGGAUAGUAUAUUUUUUUAGUUAAACACUUAGCUGAAAAAGUGUCCUAGUUCUACCUACAUGGAUGUUGAUACCUACAAACUACAUGUAUGUAAUAUUUUGUUUAUUGAGGUCUGAUUCUUAGUUCUAUUUUAAGGGAAGGUAAAUUAUUUAAAAAAAAUCAUCAGUACGGUAAACAUUAAAAAAUACUUAUGAGUGGUGAGAAAAGGAUCGUGUGAGUUUUUUGUUUGUUAAACUUUGAAUAUUAUAUAUUUUGCGGUCAAUUUUAACAAGAUAUCUCAUUUGAUUUCGAAUACACUUGCUAGUUGUUUUUUGCAAUGAACAAUUAGGUGUUUUAUUAAACGUUUGGUUUUGCAUGUGAGGUGGUAUGAUCUACAUGGUAUUAAUUGAAUAAUAUUCAUUCUUGUUGAUUUAAAGUGUUUGCCAAUGUCUACUACCCAUGGAUGUAGCUCCGUGCUCUGUGAAAAUGGGGUUUAAUGCAUGUUCGAAAAGUGUUGUCCCAGAUUAGCCUGUGCAGUAGGCAGAGACUUUCUGUCAACGAAAAAUACCAUUAAAGCUAAACGUGUCUUCCCUGAUUAGCCUGUGUGGACUUCACAGGCUUAUCUGGGACAACGCACUACGCAUUCAUAAAAUCCCAUUUUCACAGAGCACGGCCCAAUUAUUAAUUGCAACAGACAGUUUCAUUUUAUAAGUGAUUUUGUUUGCUUUCGUAAUUGUUGUUUACACAUUCAUUUCCUUUUACUGGUGCAUGGAAUGUGCCUGUACAAAAGUGUAUAUUGUCAAUGUGCGUGUUGAAUUAUCCCAGUACCCAAUUAUUAUAUAUAAUUUGCAUUAGUUGCCAACUCAGUUAGCAAUUAAUACAUUUUAACCGUAAUACAAAUGCAAUACAUAAGGCCACUUACAAUUUUUCUGCCAGCCAUUACAGUAUGGCUUCUUGUCUUCAUUGAUCAAACUUGAAAAAUGUAGAAUGAUCUUACCUAAAUGACGCUACCAAAAAAGUUAAAUAUAAAAUUGUUCAUUAAACAUAUUAAUUAUUUCGAUAUAAAACACUACGAAACCAUGAUUCCUGAGACUAGUUUACUUAAAUGCAUUUUAAAAUAUGUUUGCGAUGAUGUUUGUUAACAUUAACUUAAUCUUGUUGUAUUGUUCUUAUUAGACCGUGUGUUUGUAUGAUCACUGAUUACCAAUGUGUGUUGUCUUCUCAUAUAUCAUGUAGCCAUGUAUGUUUGUGAACAAGAAAAUAUUUUGA